rnacentral:rRNA from 1 species
UACGGGGGGAGCAAGCGUUGUUCGGAUUUACUGGGCGUAAAGGGCGCGUAGGCGGCCACUGCAAGUCGGUUGUGAAAUCUCCGGGCUUAACCCGGAAAGGUCAAUCGAUACUGCAGGGCUAGAGUGCAGAAGGGGCAACUGGAAUUCUCGGUGUAGCGGUGAAAUGCGUAGAUAUCGAGAGGAACACCUGCGGCGAAGGCGGGUUGCUGGGCUGACACUGACGCUGAAGCGCGAAAGCUAGGGGAGCGAACCGG